rnacentral:rRNA from 1 species
GAUGAACGCUGGCGGCGUGCCUAAUACAUGCAAGUCGAGCGAACAGACGAGGAGCUUGCUCCUCUGACGUUAGCGGCGGACGGGUGAGUAACACGUGGAAACCUACCUAUAAGACUGGGAUAACUUCGGGAAACCGGAGCUAAUACCGGAUAAUAUAUUUAACCGCAUGGUUCAAUAGUGAAAGACGGUUUUGCUGUCACUUAUAGAUGGAUCCGCGCCGCAUUAGCUAGUUGGUAAGGUAACGGCUUACCAAGGCAACGAUGCGUAGCCGAACUGAGAGGGUGAUCGGCCACACUGGAACUGAGACACGGUCCAGACUCCUACGGGAGGCAGCAGUAGGGAAUCUUCCGCAAUGGGCGAAAGCCUGACGGAGCAACGCCGCGUGAGUGAUGAAGGUCUUCGGAUCGUAAAACUCUGUUAUUAGGGAAGAACAAAUGUGUAAGUAACUAUGCACGUCUUGACGGUACCUAAUCAGAAAGCCACGGCUAACUACGUG